GAUGAACGCUGGCGGCGUGCUUAACACAUGCAAGUCGAACGGAGAUAUUAAAAAUGAAGUAAGGAGCUUGCUUCGGACGGAAUGAUUAAUAUCUUAGUGGCGGACGGGUGAGUAACGCGUGGAUAACCUGCCUUAUACUGGGGGAUAACACUUAGAAAUAGGUGCUAAUACCGCAUAAGCGCACAGCUUUGCAUGAAGGCGUGUGAAAAACUCCGGUGGUAUAAGAUGGAUCCGCGUCUGAUUAGCUAGUUGGUGGGUAACGGCCCACCAAGGCGACGAUCAGUAGCCGGCCUGAGAGGGUGAACGGCCACAUUGGGACUGAGACACGGCCCAAACUCCUACGGGAGGCAGCAGUGGGGAAUAUUGCACAAUGGGGGAAACCCUGAUGCAGCGACGCCGCGUGAGUGAAGAAGUAUUUCGGUACGUAAAGCUCUAUCAGCAAGGAAGAAAAUGACGGUACUUGACUAAGAAGCCCCGGCUAACUACGUGCCAGCAGCCGCGGUAA
rnacentral:rRNA from 1 species